GUCAAAUCUCGCCUCAAGUUCAGUGUUUCCUAAACUUUUAUUUUGUGAAUCCAUAUUUUAAAAGUCACAAACUUUGCAAGUCCACAAACGUUCCAGGUGGAUGGAGGUGUAGGUGUAUCUCCAGGUGGAUGGUGGAUGGUGGUGGUGUAUCUCCAGGUGGAUGGUGGUGUAUCUCCAGGUGGGUGGUGGUGUAUCUCCAGGUGGAUGGUGGUGUAUCUCCAGGUGGACGG